GCUUAGGGGCAUGGUAGCCGAGUGGGUAAAGCGCUAUAGCUAUUGACUCGGUACCGAAGAUCGAUGGUUGGAUUCCAUCCUGGAGCG
rnacentral:tRNA from 1 species